GGAAGUAAAAGUCGUAACAAGGUCUCCGUUGGUGAACCAGCGGAGGGAUCAUUACCGAGUUUACAACUCCCAAACCCAAUGUGAACCAUACCAAACUGUUGCCUCGGCGGGGUCACGCCCCGGGUGCGUCGCAGCCCCGGAACCAGGCGCCCGCCGGAGGGACCAACCAAACUCUUUCUGUAGUCCCCUCGCGGACGUUAUUUCUUACAGCUCUGAGCAAAAAUUCAAAAUGAAUCAAAACUUUCAACAACGGAUCUCUUGGUUCUGGCAUCGAUGAAGAACGCAGCGAAAUGCGAUAAGUAAUGUGAAUUGCAGAAUUCAGUGAAUCAUCGAAUCUUUGAACGCACAUUGCGCCCGCCAGUAUUCUGGCGGGCAUGCCUGUCCGAGCGUCAUUUCAACCCUCAAACCCCUCCGGGGGGUCGGCGUUGGGGAUCGGGAACCCCUAAGACGGGAUCCCGGCCCCGAAAUACAGUGGCGGUCUCGCCGCAGCCUCUCCUGCGCAGUAGUUUGCACAACUCGCACCGGGAGCGCGGCGCGUCCACGUCCGUAAAACACCCAACUUCUGAAAUGUUGACCUCGGAUCAGGUAGGAAUACCCGCUGAACUUAAGCAUAUCAAUAAGCGGAGGA
rnacentral:rRNA from 1 species